CCCCACAGCAGUGGGCAAAGAGACACCUUGUUGUAGGUAGUGUUCUUAUAUCAGCCAGGGCACAGCAGAUGGCAGUCCUUUGUUCAUCUUAGCUUGAUGCUUGGCUUGGUGGCCAACGCUGUGUUAUGUCUAGGACUCAUAA